rnacentral:rRNA from 1 species
GACGAACGCUGGCGGCGUGCCUAAUACAUGCAAGUCGAACGCUGAAGGAGGAGCUUGCUUCUCUGGAUGAGUUGCGAACGGGUGAGUAACGCGUAGGUAACCUGCCUGGUAGCGGGGGAUAACUAUUGGAAACGAUAGCUAAUACCGCAUAAGAGUAGAUGUUGCAUGACAUUUGCUUAAAAGUUGCAAUUGCAUCACUACCAGAUGGACCUGCGUUGUAUUAGCUAGUUGGUGGGGUAACGGCUCACCAAGGCGACGAUACAUAGCCGACCUGAGAGGGGGAUCGGCCACACUGGGACUGAGACACGGCCCAGACGCCUACGGGAGGCAGCAGUAGGGAAUCUUCGGCAAGGGACGGAAGUCUGACCGAGCAACGCCGCGGGAGUGAAGAAGGGUGUCGGAUCGGAAAGCUCGGUUGUAAGGGAAGAACGAGUGUGAGAGUGGAAAGUUCACACUGUGACGGUAACUGACCAGAAAGGGACGGCUAACUACGUG